CUUUCCCUGCUCCUGCGCGGCGCUGUUGCGAGAGAAACCGACCGCGCUGCGCCGGCGGCGAAAGGAGGGGGAGUUAUCGCGAGAUCUGCGUGAGUCUCUAUAGCUUAGAUCUGGACGAAGGGAGCUCCGGCGAUGUCGCGAGAUUUCGCGCGCCGGGGCCGCCGGACUCUCUGGGAUUCCGGCGGCGACACCGCGAGGUUUCUUGCUGACGGCCCGCUCUUCCCCCACGUCUUGCUCUCCCUGGAGGGGCGUCCGCUAGUUCUCGCGAGAUCGCGGCGCCCCCCUGCCUCUAACCCCCUCCUUUUGUUCGGCAUGCUCGCGAGAGCGCCCGCUGCGCGCGCUCUGAGAUGUCUCUAGAAGGAGUCGGAUUCUAGGUCACGUGGCCGUCCCUGCCGGCGCCCGCCGCCAUCUUGUGCGCUUGCCCCUGUGCAGUGGCGCAGGUCCUAAUGGAGGCGCCGCAGGGCCGCCUUGCCGGGCCUGAGCGGGGCGUGGGAAGGAGGAAGGAUCCAGUAAUGGCACGCUGUGGUGUUUUCCCGGCUUGAGUGUCACCUGGACCGGGAAGGGGGGACAACAGUCGGCGGGGGAGGGGCUGCUUCACUAGGCAGGGUCAAAGUAACAGGAGAUGAAGGAAGAUGAAACGAGGCAGACUUCAGCAGCAGGGAAAAAAAACAAAAACAAAAAAAAAAAAAACCGAGAGGCACAUGAGUAAAUCUUGGAUGCUGUGCAUUCUCAUUUUGAACUGGUUUGAACUGGUCAUCGAGACCCCGGGGCAUCUACCCGUUGCUUCACAAAGACGGAUUUGGAGACAAAGAAGAGUGAUUAGUCCCGAUGGCUCCCGGAGCUGUGGCUGCAUGGAGAUACUGUCAGCUCUGAAAAGACACAAAAGGAUGUCCAAGCCUUGUUCACGGCAACCAGCCUAAGAAUUCACCCAGGACACAUGAGGAUUUUGAUGGAUGGCGUUCUUUCUCCUCCUUCACAACAGAUCUGGACACAGUCUUAAUGGUGGUGGGGUUUGGGUGGAUGGCUUGAGUACACCGGCUUGUGGCUGGACUUUUUGGGUACCUACUUGGGGGUAGUGAGUUUUGUUUCAGUUCUUAUUUUAAAUAAAGUCACUUUUGCCUCUUCAAGUUUCCUCACAUCCCUGAUAUUUUCUACAUGUGUUGCAAGUAUUUCCUAUAGAAGGAGCAUUAAAAAGGAGCACUCAGCUGUAUAAUCUUUUUUCAGUCAUCUCUCUUGUGAUUGCUGCAGAGGAAAAAGUCAUAAUUCUUUU